rnacentral:rRNA from 1 species
UACGUAGGGGGCAAGCGUUGUCCGGAAUCAUUGGGCGUAAAGCGCACGUAGGCGGACGUGUCAGUCAGGGGUGAAAUCCCGGAGCUCAACUUCGGAACUGCCUUUGAUACUGAGGAUCUUGAGUUCGGGAGAGGUGAGUGGAACUGCGAGUGUAGAGGUGAAAUGCGCAGAUAUCGGGAAGAACACCCGUGGCGAAGGCGGUUCUCUGGGACGGUACUGACGCUGAGACGCGAAAGCGUGGGGAGCGAACAGGAUUAGAAACCCUUGG